AAGGAAUUUUCGUCAAUGGGCGCAAGCCUGAACGAGCAACGCCGCGUGGAGGAUGACGGCUUUCGGGUUGUAAACUCCUUUUCGAGGGGAUGAUUAUGACAGUACCCUCGGAAUCAGCCCCGGCUAACUCUGUGCCAGCAGCCGCGGUAAUACAGAGGGGGCAAGCGUUGUCCGGAGUUACUGGGCGUAAAGGGUCCGCAGGCGGCUAUGCAAGUGUCGUGUGAAAGCCCCGUGCUUAACACGGGGAGGCCACGGCAGACUGCACAGCUCGAGUGAUGCAGAGGGUGGUGGAAUUGCCGGUGUAGUGGUGAAAUGCGUAGAGAUCGGCAGGAACACCCAGGGCGAAAGCAGCCACCUGGGCAUCAACUGACGCUGAGGGACGAAAGCGUGGGGAGCGAA
rnacentral:rRNA from 1 species